GAAAUGCGAUAAGUAAUGUGAAUUGCAGAAUUCAGUGAAUCAUCGAAUCUUUGAACGCAGCUUGCGCUCCUUGGUAUUCCUUGGAGCAUGCCUGUUUGAGUAUCAUGAAAUCUUCAAAGUAAAUCUUUUGUUAACUCAAUUGGUUUCUACUUUGGUAUUGGAGGUCUUUGCAGCUUCACACCUGCUCCUCUUUGUUCAUUAGCUGGAUCUCAGUGUUAUGCUUGGUUCCACUCGGCGUGAUAAGUUAUCUAUCGCUGAGGACACUGUAAAAGGUGGCCAAGGUAAAUGCAGAUGAACCACUUCUAAUAGUCCAUUGACUUGGACAAUACUUUUAUCAUCUGAUCUCAAAUCAGGUAGGACUACCCGCUGAACUUAAGC
rnacentral:misc_RNA from 1 species